GAAAUUUCGAAUCUUUUUCUGUGAUCUUGCUGCUUGGUUGAUGCGUUGUGAAUUAGAUGUAAAUUCUACUGCAGCAACCUUUUUUUAUUUUUUUUGUUGACGAUUGUUCAGGAAUUUGAAUUACAGGAUUUUGUUUUGUUUUUACAUGUCAUGAGUGGUUUUUUUAUUGAGAUUAGAUUUAUGGUAUUUUGUCCAGUUGAUCUAGGCUUCAUUAUGGGGUUUUUCUGUUUCGGUGAUUUUGUGAAGCAGUUUAUCUGGAAGUUGGUGUUGCUGUUUUCAGUUUCUUUUGACGUGGAAUGGUGCUUUGAGGAUUUUGAGAUAAUUGUUAUACUGGUGUUUAUGUUUUAAUGGUUCAUCAGAUGUUUUAAACAUGUAGGACAUCAGCUAGAUUUUGAUUCCAACUUUGGGAAUUACGGGGAGGGCAGAGGCCUUGGCGUCCUUUCAGUCAAGAAUCAGGGCCUCACAAUCACUAGACAAUAUUUCUCUCAUGCCUUUUUUUCGUUCAUGAUUCGAUAUUCUGGUGUCCUAGGCCUAGAGGAACCACACCAAUCCAUCCCGAACUUGAUGGUUAAACUUUACUGCGAUGACGAUACUAUAGGGGGGUGUCCGGCGGAAAAUAAACUCGACGCUAGAAUGAUAAAAGCUUAACAUCAUCUUUAUUGACUUUUUCAUAUUUCAAAAGAUUAAAAUAAAAAAUGCAAAGGUCAUCUUAUUCAAUAACAUCUCUUUACAAUACAGGAAAUUGACAGAUACUAGGAUUGAAAUGAAUAGAAGGGGAUACUUGUGUCUUUUGGAUUUGAUUUAUCCAAUAUGGUGUUAAAGAUGUGUGGAGCUCAAUUUUCUUCUAUUUCUCUAAUGCAAAUUUGAUUUCAAAGUUAUUUUAAAUUCAUAAAAAUCUUGGAGAAGAUUUGGACCAAAUCUGAUUUUGAUUUUCAAAUUUGAUGGCUAUAAAACUCAAGAUUCUAUUCAUAUAAUUCUUCAUAUCUAUGGCCAUCUAUUGCUCUAAAAAAGGUGCUUACUUUUUCCAAACAAAUGGUAUCAGAUAUGGAGUAACUUUCUAGUUUAUGAGAAAAGUGAGAGAAAUGGUGUACGAAAAUGAGAAUUUGAUGAACAACAUAUUCGAUGGCAAGGACUUCGAGUAUUGGAAGAUGCAAAUCGAUGAUUACAUAUGCCAAAGAAGUUACAUAUAUCUCUUUUUGAGUCAAGAUGAAAAGUAUAAGCAAAUAUGAUCGGAAUGCCUAAACAGGUAGGCAUUGUGAGUUGUAUGCCCAUCAUUGAAAAAAAAUAUUAUAAUAAACACAUUGUGCGAGAGGACCAUAAAUAGCAUGAUAAAAGCUCUAUUAGACAUAAACGAGAAGCCCUCGACAAUGAACACGGUGUAUCUAAUGUGAAAAUUUCAAUCUCAGCAUAACUGAAGGUGCCUAUGCAA